rnacentral:rRNA from 1 species
AGAAUCAACGCUGGCGGCGUGCCUAACACAUGCAAGUCGAACGAGAAAGUGGAGCAAUCCAUGAGUAAAGUGGCGCACGGGUGAGUAACACGUGACUAACCUACCCUUGAGUGGGGGAUAACCUAAGGGAAACCUGGGCUAAUACCGCAUAAUACCUUCGGGUCAAAGGAGCAAUUCGCUUAAGGAGGGGGUCGCGGCCGAUUAGUUAGUUGGCGGGGUAAUGGCCCACCAAGACGAUGAUCGGUAU